rnacentral:lncRNA from 1 species
CGGUGACGAGCAGCUAAACCAACAUGACUGAAUCAAUGAAUCUAAUCAACAACGAGCAAUGGAGAUGGGCUGCGAUUCGCGAUGAAUCCAACCGGUGACAAGCUACUCAACCGACUAGUGGGUGAUGCGUAAGAAGAAGAGAAGAGAGAGGAGCCAAGUGGUGAAACCACGAGGUGGUCGUCCGGUGUCGAGCAACAAAGAUUGCAAUCAACGAUGAGCUACUCAACCAAUAAAGAUGCUGCAGCCAUUCGUUUCUAGGUAAGAAAAACAAGAUGGGUUAUUCGACUACUAGGUCAAAGAUUUUGUUUUUUCCUUCUUUUUUUUUUUCAAUUUAUAUUUUUAAUUGCAAAGAGAAUAUUUUGGAAAAAUAGAAAAAACAAUCGCCAUAGUUUUGUCUUUAGGGGGAAUGGGAUACCCCCAAACUGGAAUGAGAAUCCCAUUAAUCAAUCCUUAUUUUAUGUGGAUCCCGUGCACCUUCUUCCAUUCCCACACUCAAUUAAACAAGUAAACAAUUUCUUUAUUCUGAUUCCCGUUACUGUCUAGUAAACACUCCCAAUAGUCUAAAAGUCUAAAAGAACAGCGUGAAGUAUUCUAUUCUCUAGAUUAUAGAUGAUACAUCCCCAAAAUCGAUCCUUCUUACCAAUAUACUUACAACCCCGUAGUGUAAGAAUCUAAAAAGAUACAGAGACCGAGGGGGAAAAAAAGAAAGAAAAAAUGAAAAACAAAGUUUCUUAGGUACACACUCCACUCGGAAAAAUUAUUUAAAAAAAAAAAAUCAAAAACUCGAACGAGAGAAGGAAUCAAAACAGAUCAAAGAACAUUAGUACGCCCUAAAACCAAAUUGCUCACGCCUCACGAUCUAGAAUGAAACUCUCCAGUCUCCACACUUUAGAAGAACAAAUACAAAUGUUUAGAACACCCAUGCAGCCCAUUCAAGUUUCAACCAUUUCCUGGGCAGAGCAGCAGUAACAGCUUUAACAGAUACAGCUCCCUGGUCUGAGCUGACUCAAAGAAACCUCUCUUCAGCUCACCACUGUUAUCUUUUCAGACCUGAGCCAUCUGCUGCUUCAGUGCCUGCAGGGACUUGAUUUUGGAUUCACAAAUCCGAAGAAAUGCAGAGAGUCCUGCACGCUGCCCAGCUACAAAUUUCCUUGCAACAUCAACAGGACUCCAAGAUUUCAUAGCUUGAGAUAUCCG